CAGGGUUGGGGCUCCUGGAAAAGAGCAUUCAUGAGACACAAAAGCAUAGAAUGUAAUCUCGAAUUCACGGGGUGGCUUUCCCUUCCCUCUCGCCAUGCCCAGCUGCUUUUCUGAGUCCUGGCAGCCUUUUCUCUGCAGCAGCCUCCCUGGAGCCACUCCCCUUCCCCGGUGAGGCUGCUUUGCAUUCCACAGGCACUCUAGACCGAAGGGCUGUUUGUCUAAAUGGCCUCUAGAACUCUCGAUCGCAGCCAUGCCUGAGUGGGCGCGCAGCAGAGUUUAGGCGGUUUGGGGUGCUAAUUAAUUCAGGUGCAGAAGAGCAGCCCAGUCAGGCGAAGCUGGCACCUGGCCCAUGUGUGAGUGGUGACUCACCUGCUGGAAGACAAUCUGGGGACCGUAUAGCUUGAAUAGCAACAAAUACUUGGCUUGAUUCAUGCGUGGAUGUUUACGGAUUAUCUAGAAGGAAAGCUGGAGCCGGGAUGAUUCCUAAAUAGGAUGUCCUACCAAAUUGGCUUCCAGGCUGUUACAAUGGCUCAAUGCAAAGAUUUGGCACUAAGCCUAACUAACAACCCGAGUCUCAUCCUUGGAACUGUUUAAAAAAGAUUUUGUUUUGGAGUGGAGUGGUUGCUCAUGCCACACCUUUGAUCCCAGCACCCAGAAGGCAGAGGCAGAGAUGGUUAAAACCCACACAAGGAAACAGACCCAUGAGUGGAGUAUGCCAAGAAACAGUUGAGCCGGAACCACAGCCAAGCCAAAUAAUCUCUGAUCUCGAAAGAAGAUGAGGAUACGGGAGGCACAGUUAAAGGCCUUGCAGGAAAGGCAGGUGAAAGCUGGGUUUGGGCAACCAAGAGAAACUGUGCUGCUUCCCCAGGUCACUGCUGAGGAGACGCAGAGAGGUCAGCUCCAGGGUAGAACAGACUCAGAGACCUCGGAGGAUACCUAAGAGCCAAACACAGUGAAUGAACUGGGCAGAUCCUAAUUUGAACAGAUAGCAGAAAAGUUAAUUUUGAUAACUGAGAAAAUUUAUCAAAUGUCAAUGAUUUUUUUUUGUAAUUUCAAUGAAUGAGAUAAUGGAAUUAUUGUUACAUAAAAGUAUUUGCUUUGGAGAUUUAGCUGAAAUUCAUGAUGAUA